rnacentral:rRNA from 1 species
CAAUGAUGCAUAGCCGAGUUGAGAGACUGAUCGGCCACAUUGGGACUGAGACACGGCCCAAACUCUACGGGAGGCUGCAGUAGGGAAUCUUCCACAAUGGGCGAAAGCCUGAUGGAGCAACGCCGCGUGUGUGAUGAAGGCUUUCGGGUCGUAAAGCACUGUUGUAUGGGAAGAACAGCUAGAAUAGGAAAUGAUUUUAGUUUGACGGUACCAUACCAGAAAGGGACGGCUAAAUACGUGCCAGCAGCCGCGGUAAUACGUAUGUCCCGAGCGUUAUCCGGAUUUAUUGGGCGUAAAGCGAGCGCAGACGGUUUAUUAAGUCUGAUGUGAAAGCCCGGAGCUCAACUCCGGAAUGGCAUUGGAAACUGGUUAACUUGAGUGCAGUAGAGGUAAGUGGAACUCCAUGUGUAGCGGUGGAAUGCGUAGAUAUAUGGAAGAACACCAGUGGCGAAGGCGGCUUACUGGACUGCAACUGACGUUGAGGCUCGAAAGUGUGGGUAGCAAACAGGAUUAGAUACCCUGGUAGUCCACACCGUAAACGAUGAACACUAGGUGUUAGGAGGUUUCCGCCUCUUAGUGCCGAAGCUAACGCAUUAAGUGUUCCGCCUGGGGAGUACGACCGCAAGGUUGAAACUCAAAGGAAUUGACGGGGACCCGCACAAGCGGUGGAGCAUGUGGUUUAAUUCGAAGCAACGCGAAGAACCUUACCAGGUCUUGACAUCCUUUGAAGCUUUUAGAGAUAGAAGUGUUCUCUUCGGAGACAAAGUGACAGGUGGUGCAUGGUCGUCGUCAGCUCGUGUCGUGAGAUGUUGGGUUAAGUCCCGCAACGAGCGCAACCCUUAUUGUUAGUUGCCAGCAUUCAGAUGGGCACUCUAGCGAGACUGCCGGUGACAAACCGGAGGAAGGCGGGGACGACGUCAGAUCAUCAUGCCCCUUAUGACCUGGGCUACACACGUGCUACAAUGGCGUAUACAACGAGUUGCCAACCCGCGAGGGUGAGCUAAUCUCUUAAAGUACGUCUCAGUUCGGAUUGUAGUCUGCAACUCGACUACAUGAAGUCGGAAUCGCUAGUAAUCGCGGAUCAGCACGCCGCGGUGAAUACGUUCCCGGGUCUUGUACACACCGCCCGUCACACCAUGGGAGUUUGUAAUGCCCAAAGCCGUGGCCUAACCUUUU